AUUACAACAGAUACAACAGAACAUGUCUGGGCUACAUUUACUGUAACUACUGCAGUAAAAGCUUCUUAAACACAGCUCUGUGAAGGAAUGCUUUCAUUUUGCAGUUUCACCAUCUUGAUGUAAAAAAAAAAAAAAAAUCAAAAUCACAACAUCACACAAAGCCAGCAUUGUUUCACUCUGCAGUGCACCCCGUGCUCCUCGAUGGAUGCAGUUUAUGACUUCAUUCCAUGUGUGCUAGGCCGCCAGAACACAUUUAAUAUACCCACCAUAGAAGCUGCUGUCAGCUAUUUUAAAGCCACACCUGAGGUCCUGUAGCUCUGAACUUUCACUUUCAUGAUAUGAUAAACCACAGGGAAGGAGUUUGAUAACAGAGUGAUGUUUAAGUCUACCAUCAAAAACAUGUUCCUGCAUGAAUUUUAAUUCAGCUCCUGAACCAAUGGCAAAAUAUUUUCAUUAUGAGAUCAGAGCUCACCUGUCUGUGUCUCUUCUGCUGCCAUGAUUAAUGAAAAAUAAAAACAUGAGACCAGCAAUGGCUAGGUUACCUGAUAAACAAUGUCUCGUGAUAAAUCUGCUCUCAGUUCAUUCAUAGAUGAUAUUAAAUAGUAAGCAUCUCUCCCUGUAAUUACAAGGAAGAUUAAAGCAUAGCCUGAGUACAGAACAUUUUUAUUAGCUUGGCACAACUUCUACUGUAAAGCUUCUUUCUUUAAUGAUCUGAUAAUGUGAGACAUUUUUGGACUGGACAUUUUUUAAACUAAUUUCAGAGACGUUUAAACAUAUCUCAUAAAAGAGGGCAUUAACACCAACCUUAAAAGCUUUGUGAAAUCACUGAAAUCACCGUGCAAAAUAACUCAAGAGUCAGAAACUGAGGAGCUCUCUGCACAAUCAAAAUGAAAUAUUUCUUAAAAAUCUUUUUUUAUUGCAUACAGUUGAGUCUACUUUGUUCCAGUACUCAGUUUACAGGAAGUCUUGCUCUGUGCUGGUGUACCUUACAAAUGUCUUGUAAGAAUCACUUCAUAAAAUCAGGCAGAACUUAACGGUGUUUGUCUCUCCUCUUCUUGGCUCUCAGUUCGUCCAGGCGUCUCCAGAGCUGAUGGCAUUUGGUUCAAUCAGUUCAGAUUGGUGGCCUUGGAUCCACCACUUCACGGGAGACAUCCAUACCGCUGACAGCACAGUUGAUGUGAAUCUCAGAGAUGGAGUUACAUAUCACCAGAUGCAGGCGAUCAUUGAGGAACUGCUGAAUGAGAACAGCUACUAUGAACCAACAAACAGCAGGCUCAGAAAGAAAAGAAAUGACCAAGAAAAAAAGUAACAGUUAUCUUCACUCAUCCCUAAAAACUCAAACUUUAAAUUUAUUUGGAGAAGAAUGAGUUCACAAUGAUACUUCAACACUGCUUGAAAUCUAAUGAACAUUUAUCCCAACCUUCAUUACAAAACAUAUUCUCAUUGAACAUAAAAAGAAUAUAAAAGUAGUAAAUGCAUACAUUAAUUUGUUUGCACAUAAACAUGAUUACGGUGAUAUUUUACCACAGUGCUCAUAGUCAUGUUGUCACCUACUCUUUUGAUCUCAGGCAUUAUUGUUGUCUCUUUUUCCCAUAAAUGUGAAGUGACUGUAUGAAUUUCCAAAGAUAUAUUAUAUAUGAAUAUAUAUACAUAUCUACAGAUAGAUACGGAUGUAAUUAAGUUUGAGACUGACAGUUAUUCUAUUCUCAGUUCAAAAUCAAAAUUUAAAACUUGUUUAAAAUGCUUUUUUUGAAGCACUUUAUACUCUCAGGCCCAGACACUGCAUGUCACAGCAUGUGUUUUUCUAGUGGCUGCAAGCCACAGUGACCUUGUUUGCUUUCUAAGAACUGAUAAGAUGCAGCACAUUGACCUUAAUUCUACAUAUCACAAUUUUUGACUGGAUUUGAAAGAAAAAAAAAAAACAGGUCAAAUGUUUUGCACUGUAAUAAAAUGCACUCAAUCAGCAUUUUUACUAUAAAGAAGAUCUAAAAUAUGACUGACAGCUGAAGAAAAGCUUUCUUUUGCACUUUGACUCACUGUUAUCUGUAUAAAACUAUUUAAAUGUUUGUAUUAAUAAACAUUAUUUA
ensembl:lncRNA